rnacentral:misc_RNA from 1 species
AGCAUAUGCCUUGUGUGCAUUCUUCGGCAUCCAAGUUCUCUUUGGCAUUGUAAAGGUCAAAAAAUUUGAUCAACGGGAAAGGUUGAUAGCCGGAACUGCAUAAAGAAAUGGUUCUGGAGAGACAGACAAAGAGCCCAGCAGACCACAGACUGGGUGAGGUCACAGAUCUGCCUAGCGUCAGAGUCACCUUUCAUCUACAGCGC